rnacentral:rRNA from 1 species
GGCGUACAGGUGCUGCAUGGCUGUCGUCAGCUCGUGCUGUGAAGUGUUGGGUUAAGUCCCGCAACGAGCGCAACCCCUGCUGCCUGUUGCCACCACGAGAGGUGGGGACUCAGGCGGGACCGCCGGUGACAAACCGGAGGAAGUGGGGACGACGUCAAGUCAUCAUGGCCCUUAUGUCCUGGGCUACACACGUGCUACAAUGGCCGGUACAGAGCGCAGCGAGGCCGCGAGGCGGAGCGAAUCGCUUAAAGCCGGUCCCAGUACGGAUUGGAGUCUGCAACCCGACUCCAUGAAGUUGGAAUCGCUAGUAAUCGCGCAUCAGCAUGGCGCGGUGAAUACGUUCCCGGGCCUU